rnacentral:misc_RNA from 1 species
UAUCGGAAGUGCGGCUGGAUCACUCCUUUUGAGUAUGGUGAAUAUAAUUGUCUUAUCAGGCGUCCUCACAAGUUACUUGCAUUCAGGGUUUGAUGUUGGCAUAGGUUUGGGUUUAUGUUGGCGAUUUUUGUUCUGGGGGCCUUAGCUCAGCUGGUAGAGCACCUGCUUUGCAAGCAGGGGGUCGUCGGUUCGAUCCCGACAGGCUCCACCAUGAAAGUAUUUAUGGGUCUGUAGCUCAGGUGGUUAGAGCGCACCCCUGAUAAGGGUGAGGUCGGUGGUUCGAGUCCUCCCAGACCCACCAAUGUUAUAUCAAUUAUUCUGAAUGUGGUUUGCGCAUUUUUUAUGCUUAUCAGCCUUGGAGCUGUGAAGCGUUCUUUUAUAAUUUGAUGAUGUAGCAAGCGUUUGAACUUUUUAUUAAUAAUUUCUCAUUGGAAGCCUUAAGUGACAAUGUUUAUCCAUUGUCUUGUAGAUUUUGAGGCGACUUUGGGUUAUAUGGUCAAGCGAAUAAGCG